rnacentral:rRNA from 1 species
AUGUGGUUUAAUUCGAUGAUACGCGAGGAACCUUACCUGGGCUUAAUGUAGAGUGCAUUGAGAGGAAACUUUCAUUUUCUUCGGAACUCUUUACAAGGUGCUGCAUGGUUGUCGUCAGCUCGUGCCGUGAGGUGUCGGGUUAAGUCCCAUAACGAGCGCAACCCUUAUCGUUAGUUGCCAGCGGGUAAUGCCGGGAACUCUAGCGAAACUGCCGGUGUAAACCGAGAGGAAGGUGGGAUGACGUCAAAUCAGCACGGCCCUUAUGUCCAGGGCUACACACGUGUUACAAUGGCCGGUACAGAGGGCAGCUACCUGGAGACAGGAUGCGAAUCUCGAAAGCCGGUCUCAGUUCGGAUCGGAGUCUGCAACCCGACUCCGUGAAGCUGGAUUCGCUAGUAAUCGCGCAUCAGCCAUGGCGCGGUGAAUACGUUCCCGGGCCUU